rnacentral:rRNA from 1 species
GACGAACGCUGGCGGCGUGCUUAACACAUGCAAGUCGAACGAAGAGCGAUGGAAGCUUGCUUCUAUCAAUCUUAGUGGCGAACGGGUGAGUAACGCGUAAUCAACCUGCCCUUCAGAGGGGGACAACAGUUGGAAACGACUGCUAAUGCCGCAUACGAUCUGACCUCGGCAUCGAGGAUAGAUGAAAGGUGGCCUCUAUUUAUAAGCUAUCACUGAAGGAGGGGAUUGCGUCUGAUUAGCUAGUUGGAGGGGUAACGGCCCACCAAGGCGAUGAUCAGUAGCCGGUCUGAGAGGAUGAACGGCCACAUUGGGACUGAGACACGGCCCAGACUCCUACGGGAGGCAGCAGUGGGGAAUCUUCCGCAAUGGACGAAAGUCUGACGGAGCAACGCCGCGGGAGUGAUGACGGCCUUCGGGUUGUAAAGCUCUGUUAAUCGGGACGAAAGGCCUUCUUGCGAAUAGUUAGAAGGAUUGACGGUACCGGAAUAGAAAGCCACGGCUAACUACGUG